GCUACAUGAAGCUGGAAUCGCUAGUAAUCGCAGAUCAGAAUGCUGCGGUGAAUACGUUCCCGGGUCUUGUACACACCGCCCGUCACACCAUGGGAGCCGGGAAUGCCCGAAGUCGGUGACCCAACCGUAAGGAGGGAGCCGCCGAAGGCAGGCCUGGUAACUGGGGUGAAGUCGUAACAAGGUACC
rnacentral:rRNA from 1 species